UGUUCGGAUGCUACAACAGGGCAUUACUGUGUCCCAUCAAAUAAUUCGUUCACAUGCCAGUGUCGUACAUACGAUGCAUUUUUCAUGGAAGGAGCCGCAUGCGAAAACCGACGUAGGUUUGCUCUUACUGUCGUGAUCACAUUGUUGACUGAGACAUACCGGCCAGUGUACAUCAAUCCGUGGUCUUCUGCAUUCAGAGCCAAAGCAGCCCUUUAUAAACGACUGGUGUUGUGGCUACCAUGGCAUUACUAGACCCAGCUACUCCACCAAGAGUUGAUGUACAAAGCGUCUUAUCGGAAAACAUACCGACGACCGAUGGUGAUGUUAUGAUACCCAUCAACCCAAGGCACCUGAAGUCAAUGGUUGUGUCAUGUGACUGCACACCUGGCUGGUCAGGUGACUCCUGUGAGGUGAACUACGACGCCUGUCAAGACAACCCUGCUUCCUUGGAGUGGCGUGUUUUGAUGAUGACCCACCGUCUCUAGAUUUCACCUGCGGAUCUUGUCCUGAAGAAACGGAGGGAGACGGCAAGUCCUGCAUUGACCGACGUAGGUUUGCUCUUACUGUCGUGAUCACAUUGUUGACUGAGACAUACCGGCCAGUGUACAUCAAUCCGUGGUCUUCUGCAUUCAGAGCCAAAGCAGCCCUUUAUAAACGACUGGCUGAGUUGUGGUUGAGAGAGGACCCAGCAACCGAUGAUGUGACAUCAGCAGACUGUGUUUCCCUCGGACCAGGAGGUGCCAUGGCUACUGUACCCAGCUACACCAUCAAGAACCGACGUAGGCCUACAAAGAGUCUUAGACCGUUGACCGAUGGUGACGUAAUGAGACCCAUCAACCCCAGGCACCUGAAGUCAAUGUUGUGGGACUUCAUUCACCGGUGAACGCUGCCAAACAGUCAUUCCAGUCCCCACUGAAGUUCCAACAGCGACAACAACAGAGUCACCAGGUGACAAUAUGGACAUCUCAGGCUGUGUCCCAUAGGGCUGGCAGUCACCCAGGGUUUGUCAAGCAGACAUGAUUUCUUCAGACCGUUCAUCGUGACCAGAGGGAUUUUACCAAAAUUUUGUCAGGCAUUUUAAAA
rnacentral:misc_RNA from 1 species